ACAAGAGCCGAAAGCUACUUAAAACCAUCGCGAACUUGUCCAAGUUGUUUCGGCGGCGCGGGACCCCUUGGGGGACCGCAGCGCCGCUUCCCCCCCCGGGGGUUGCGGGGCGCCCGCCGGAGGUCACAAACUCUCAUGUAUUAUAGUGGAUCUCUGAGUAAAAAACAAAUAAGUUAAAACUUUCAACAACGGAUCUCUUGGUUCUGGCAUCGAUGAAGAACGCAGCGAAAUGCGAUAAGUAAUGUGAAUUGCAGAAUUCAGUGAAUCAUCGAAUCUUUGAACGCACAUUGCGCCCGCUAGUACUCUAGCGGGCAUGCCUGUUCGAGCGUCAUUUCAACCCUCAAGCCCUGCUUGGUGUUGGGGCCCUACGGCUGCCGUAGGCCCUGAAAGGAAGUGGCGGGCUCGCUACAACUCCGAGCGUAGUAAUUCAUUAUCUCGCUUAGGGUGUUGUGCGGUGCUCAGCCCGUUAAAGACCAUCUUUAACUCAAGGUUGAC
rnacentral:rRNA from 1 species